UNNCCAUGCANNUCUNNGNNNAGCAUUAUACAGCGAAACUGCGAAUGGCUCAUUAUAUAAGUUAUCGUUUAUUUGAUAGUACCUUACUACUUGGAUAACCGUGGUAAUUCUAGAGCUAAUACAUGCUAAAAAUCCCGACUUCGGAAGGGAUGUAUUUAUUAGAUUAAAAACCAAUGCCCUUCGGGGCUCCUUGGUGAUUCAUGAUAACUUCUCGAAUCGCAUGGCCUUGUGCCGGCGAUGGUUCAUUCAAAUUUCUUCCCUAUCAACUUUCGAUGUUUGGGUAUUGGCCAAACAUGGUUGCAACGGGUAACGGAGGGUUAGGGCUCGACCCCGGAGAAGGAGCCUGAGAAACGGCUACUACAUCCAAGGAAGGCAGCAGGCGCGCAAAUUACCCAAUCCCGACACGGGGAGGUAGUGACAAUAAAUACUGAUACAGGGCUCUUUAGGGUCUUGUAAUUGGAAUGAGUACAAUUUAAAUCUCUUAACGAGGAACAAUUGGAGGGCAAGUCUGGUGCCAGCAGCCGCGGUAAUUCCAGCUCCAAUAGCGUAUAUUAAAGUUGUUGUGGUUAAAAAGCUCGUAGUUGAACCUUGGGCCUGGCUGGCCGGUCCGCCUCACCGCGUGUACUGGUCCGGCCGGGCCUUUCCCUCUGUGGAACCCCAUGCCCUUCACUGGGUGUGGCGGGGAAACAGGACUUUUACUUUGAAAAAAUUAGAGUGCUCCAGGCAGGCCUAUGCUCGAAUACAUUAGCAUGGAAUAAUAGAAUAGGACGUGUGGUUCUAUUUUGUUGGUUUCUAGGACCGCCGUAAUGAUUAAUAGGGACAGUCGGGGGCAUCAGUAUUCAAUUGUCAGAGGUGAAAUUCUUGGAUUUAUUGAAGACUAACUACUGCGAAAGCAUUUGCCAAGGAUGUUUUCAUUAAUCAGGAACGAAAGUUAGGGGAUCGAAGACGAUCAGAUACCGUCGUAGUCUUAACCAUAAACUAUGCCGACUAGGGAUCGGACGGUGUUAUUUUUUGACCCGUUCGGCACCUUACGAGAAAUCAAAGUG
rnacentral:rRNA from 1 species